rnacentral:tRNA from 1 species
CAGAAAGUAGUUUUAUAAAUAAUAAUUUUGGGUAUUAUAGUGGGCUGUUGCUCUUUCUGA